ACAUCUGCAGCAGGAGGAGAAAGUGAGCAAGUGAACACUGCCCCCCCACCUCCCCACACCCCCGUUGGUGAUGACGGUCAUCUGAUUGAGGGCUGGCUCCAGUGUUCACUGCUUGAGCGUGAGCUACCCAAGGCAGGCUGCCUUCUUCACUUUGGCCCUCGCACAGGGCCUAGCACACAGUAGGGCUACUGAACGGGAGAAGACUGCUGCCUGGUGGGGACACCUUGGUACACCGCCCUCCCGGCUUCUCUGAAAAGAAGGCUACCGGACAAAGAGGUGGGUGGGGGAAAGAAGAAUGCAAAGGCAACACUGGGGCCAAAGGCUAAGCAGCAGACUCAGGUGGAAGAGCCGAUCUGAUGGGGAGAGGCCUUAUCGAUCCACUGCACAAAUGGACCCUACCAUUUGUUGCAUUCCUCAACGGUGCCUGCAUUUACAUAAUUCUAACAACCCUGAGAGUGCUCCCUUUCAAGAACUGCCUCGGGGUUCAUGUUGCAGCAUCAGACAAGAAUGGAAGUCACAGCUGGGGUUAGCAGUGGGAGCCUUUAAAGCAUGAGUCCCCGGGGGCGCAGGGCAUACAGAAUCCUGCACUGAGCCCAGAGCACAACAAGGGGGCCUGGGCCUCAUGCUUGGAUGGGGAGCAGCAGACAGAUGUGUGGGCCUCAGGUGCAGACACACAGAGAUGGCCACGCAGAUGUGCCUGAGAGCACACAGAAGCUCACACGCACUGGUCGUUUGCACACAUGGCUCCGGCGUGCAUCCAGAGAGCAGCCUCUCGUGCACAUAUGAGCAGGUGUGCACACACAUGGCUGGCAUGUCAACAGGCAUGCCCAAACACACAAACACCCCAGAGACACACCCAGACAUUUCUGGCAAAGAACAUCCUUUUGUCCUCAGCUUCUUGCCACUGAGAGUCUACUGGUUCCAUCUCUGAAUGUCUCACCUGACUGUCCCUCUUCCCAACCUACCACAGCCCCUGUUCCCUUGAGCCCCCACUGGGCCACUGGACAACGGCAAUGGUGUCCCCGCUGGGACCCCACCCCUCAUCCUGGUGUACUCUUUGGUUCAUUGGACACACAGGAGCAGGAGGCAUCUGGGCAAUCAGGCAGAUCUGAUGGCAUCACUUCCCUGCUUUAAAACCCAUCCGAGGCCUCCCCUUUCCCACCAGAUGUAGCUCAGAUCACCUGCAUCACACAUAAGGCCCUUGGCGAUCUGGCUUCCACUCCAGGCGUGAGCUGGCAUGGAGCGCCGUGCCCUGGGUGCCGCAGCUGUGGGACUCCCUCAGGAAGUUGCGCCGCAUGCCUCACAGGGCUCACUUUUGCUCACACCCCGCGAGAAAUGCCCUCUUCCCUACUGCCCUGGGUUCGGGUGCUACUUGGCCACCCUCCCAGGCCCAGGUCAGUCACAUCUCUCCACUUCACCCUGACAUUGAAGGCUCCGCUGUCCUGCCCCACUAUUUCACAGGCCCUUCGUUGGCCUCUCCGGUGUCACUGUCCUCUGUGUGUGACAGCUUCUCCCACAGAACUCCAAGCGGGCUGGUACACAGACCCAAAGGUACUGGUGCUCAGCGAGUUUCUGGGUGUGAGUGAGUGAAUGAAUUUGGCCUGUGGGCCAUCCAAUCGCCCUGGGUGAUCUGGCCUGGCUAGGUGAGCAAGCUCGGCAUGUGCAUGCGUGGUGACUUCUUGAGCUCCGCCCCACACCACUGAACGGGGGUGCUGAGGGCUCCCCACAUUUGAUGGUGCCGGCUCUCAGGAUGUAUGGAGAGAAGUAGGCUGAGUGGCUAACACGGGGUGGGCGCUCCAUAAAUAAUAGCCAAGCUUGCUGUUGCCAAUUUCUAUUUUUAUUUCCACCGAGGCCUUCCCAUUACUGUUUUCUGAUUGUCGUCCCCCUCACCACCCCUUCAGCUGAGUGCUGGGCUCCCAGAAUGGACUCACUUGACAGUUCACCACAGGACGGGUGGACGAUGUGGCUUCUUGGGAUCUGUGUGCAGUCUGAGACUUCGGAGCCCUGUACUGUACUGCCUCCUCCCAGCCAGCCUCCCGGGAAACUGGAAGCAGAGAGCUGCCUGGGGUCCUGGUCCUCCUCCCACCCCCAAGCUGAGCACCUGCUCUGUUCCGAGUCCUGAGCCGAGCUGGGACCUGGGGGAGGGAAGUGGGGACAGCUGGGCCUUUUCACCCCCUAGCAGCUGCGGGCGUCCCCCAGGAUGCUGCACAUGUGGCUAGGGUUCCCAUAGCAACCUGUGUGGGGACCUGACCUGAUGUGGCCACUUCACUCCAUCUCCUCCCGGACUUGCGAGAGAGGUCAGGGAGAGCCUGGAGGGAUGAGGCUGCUGGGCACUUUGACAGGCACACACUCCCAUCUGGUGAGGACCAGGCUCUUAUUAUCCUCAUUCCACUGGCUAGGAAAUUGAGGCCCAAAGACAUGGGCUUCCAGCCCCAGUCCCUCCAGGCACAACCAAGAGCACUGGUCUGCAGCCAUAUCUGUUUGUACUGGGG